ACACACACACAUCUGCAAAACUCUCUCCAACUCUCUCUAAUUUUCUGCACUUUUUCUUUAUCUUUUUCGGUUCAAACAAGCCAACAAGGAGCUCAAAUCUAGCUAAUCUAAUGUAAUAAUAAGUCCCAUUGUUCAUCUAUCAUCUAGAUUCAUGUAUGGUGCAAGCUUGGAGACGAUUUGGAGGCCAUCUAGCACUCGAAAUCAGCCCCUAAAGAGGCUGAUCGGGCAGCAGCAAAACGGGGGCAAAAACAAGUUCAUCUUUUUCCAUUCUUUUGAUUCUUGAUCAUCAAAGGCUUGUUACAGCCAAUAAACAACACGUGGGCAGCCAUCAAGACCAAGACCCAACAACACUCUUGAUCUUCUUGUUUUGAUCUUCAAAGGAUUUAGCAUAAGCUAUGAGGAGUUAUAUGCAUUAUGAUUGUUUGCAUUGCACUUUGGAGUCAAAGAUCAAACCUUGUGAUGGGCAAUGGAAUCCGCCUUGACCAUUGUAAUAUAUCAUUUCAUGUAUUUGUUAUUUGUUUCGUGGACUUAAUAUCCAAGUACGGUGGACGCAUGAUACUUGGGGAUUGGUUCACAUGCUUGUGCAUUUGUAAACUCUUUUAUCAAGUUAAGCUAUGGUGAAUGUUUAUCUAUCAUCCUUUGUUUUGAAUACUCGACUUUCUGUACAUCUCAUUGUUGCGCC